rnacentral:rRNA from 1 species
CAUGCUGUAAACGAUGGGUGCUUGUUGUUAGUAGUGUAAACCCUACUAGUAACGAAGCUAACGCGUUAAGCACCCCGCCUGGGGAGUACGGUCGCAAGAUUAAAACUCAAAGAAAUUGACGGGGACCCGCACAAGCAGUGGAGUAUGUGGUUCAAUUCGACGCAACGCGAAGAACCUUAUCCUAGCCUUGACAUGCCUUGACAACCGGCGAAAGUCGGCUUUCCCGCAAGGGACAGGGACACAGGUGC